UACUGCCAGACUGGAACCGGGAGAGGUAAGAGGUACUACAGGGGUAGGAGUGAGAUCUUGUAAUCCCUGUGGGACCACCUGUGGCGAAGGCGUCUUACCAGAACGGGUUCGACGGUGAGGGACGAAAGCUGGGGGGCACGAACCGGAUUAGAUACCCGGGUAGUCCCAGCCGUAAACGAUGCUCGCUAGGUGUCAGGCAUCGGCGCGACCGUGUCUGGUGCCGCAGGGAAGCCGUGAAGCGAGCCACCUGGGAAGUACGGCCGCAAGGCUGAAACUUAAAGGAAUUGGCGGGGGAGCACAACAACGGGUGGAGCCCUGCGGUUUAAUUGGACUCAACGCCGGACAACUCACCGGGGGCGACAGCAAUAUGUAGGCCAAGCUGAAGACUUUGCCUGAAUCGCUGAGAGGUGGUGCAUGG
rnacentral:rRNA from 1 species